GGGGUCCUUAUUUAUAGACGGAGGGCAUAACUGAUUGACAGCGACGUCUGUAACCGUCUGGUAGUGGACCGCUCAGAGCCGCAUGGAGUUUGUUACGGAGAGUAGUGGUGUCAGGGGUCGUUCAGGGCCACGUGGAGCUUGUUGUGGAGAGUGGAGUGGUAUCCGUUGUCGAGACUUGCCAGAGAGUGGUGGAGCUGCAUGGGAUCCAUUGCAGAGAG
rnacentral:lncRNA from 1 species